CCUCCGGGCGGCAGCAGUGCGGAAUAUUGGUCCAUGGGCUUACGCCUGACCCCGCCCCUUCUCUUUCUUUCCUCCUUCCCUAUGGGUUGUAAACCUCUUUUGUCAGGGAGCAAUUGGCGCUACGUGUAGCGUUAUCGAGAGUACCUGAAGAAAAAGCAUCGGCUAACUCCGUGCCAGCAGCCGCGGUAAUACGGAGGAUGCGAGCGUUAUCCGGAUUUAUUGGGUUUAAAGGGUGCGUAGGCGGAAUGCCAAGUCAGCGGUAAAAUCGCGGGGCUCAACCUCGCUCCGCCGUUGAAACUGGCGUU
rnacentral:rRNA from 1 species